UUUAAGUAUUUUUUUGUGUAUAUUGGACUAAUUCAAAUCCUAAAUUCCUUUCGGGAUCACUGAGGUAUCUAUCAAUCAAUCAACAAAAUGUUUAAUCAUUAGUGGCAGAUAAAUCUCAACACGAGAAAUAUUAUACAUUUAAAUGUCAUUGUACAAUUGUUUAUUUCAUCAAUUGAAAUCACCACUUUUGAAGGGAAAUUCAUGGGUACCAUUCCUCUUACUGGAGUAUUCCUUUUCAACAUUUGCCUGGAGGCUAAUUGAAGCUAGCCCACAACCGGCCAAACCCGCCCACCUGGUUUAAACAGGUAUUCAAACAAGACUAUGCAGGUAAGAAGCUGGUUACGGUGCUUGCUGUCGAGCAUUUCUCUGGCAGCAUUCUCCAUAUCUCACAUACUGUCUGUCUGGAGUAGCACUGCCCCAUUUAAGCCUGAAACCUGCAUCACGCCAUAGCUUCUAAUCAUGUUAAACUAUGACUAUAACAUACAGAUAGAAAGAGAGAUAGAUAGAUAGAUAGGUAGGUAGAUCGAUAGAUAGAUAUAAAGAUAGAUAGAUAGAUAGAUAUAAAGAUUGAUAGAUAGAUACAGUAGAUAGAUGAACACAUAGAUAGAUAGAUAGA
ensembl:lncRNA